UUUCUUCUUAUGUUGUGUGCUCGACGUCGACGACGCAUAGCCAAGGGCGGCGACAGAGCAGUAACGCACACAUAAAAAUACUGGCCAAUGAUAGCAAACCCAAAGAGCUCCACCAUCAUAGGGAAAGCCCCCAAACUGGAAAGCAUACAACGCUCAACUGCAUAAUAUUGCAAAUAAGCUAGAAAGGCAGAAAUAUUAGUAAAAGAGAAUGUGCUGUGCCACCACAAAUAUAGACGUAACAAGUUCAACUACUAAACCACUGAGAAGCGAACAAAUUACAUAAAAAAUGAUGCAACACUAACUAACCACUCUGGGACCACAAAAAAAAAAACUACCUACCAUUACCAUGAGAUGGAAAGAUGGCCCAGUAACUAUAACACCUAUGACAGGGAUGAUAAUUUGGAUACAUGGAUAGACUUUAAUAAGCCGGCGUAUCUGAUGAGAAUAACGAGAAGUUACUUGCGUGACAGAGUACUUAUCUAUGACUCU
rnacentral:sRNA from 1 species